rnacentral:rRNA from 1 species
UACAGAGGGUGCAAGCGUUGCUCGGAAUCAUUGGGCGUAAAGGGUAGGUAGGUGGUCUCAUUUGUCUGGGGUGAAAGCCUUGAGCUUAACUCGAGAAGUGCCCCGGAAACGGUGAGACUGGAGUCUUGGAGAGGGUCGUGGAAUUCCCGGUGUAGCGGUGAAAUGCGUAGAGAUCGGGAGGAACACCAGAGGCGAAGGCGGCGACCUGGACAAGUACUGACACUCAACUACGAAAGCGUGGGGAGCAAACAGG